AAACUACACAACCUUCACAGUCUUAUCUCUUCUUUUUCUGAUGUUUUUGAUGACUAAUGGACUUUUGUUCUUCCUCUAUGGUCCAUCAUGUUCACAAAAGAGCUCUCAGAGCAAUGAUGACGCUGGCAGCCAAACAGAAGUGCAAAGAGCAGACCUUUCCACAUUAGAACAGGAAAAUGUCCCUCAAGACAUGGAUGUUGUUCACUCCCAUGGACUAACGGAAGGGCAGAGUUUCAUCUCCAUUCUCUCCUUUGCACUGAAACACAACACUACUGGUGUAUUAACUGAAGAUCUGCUGACACUUCUAAAGUUACAUUCUGCUGGGACAAGUGCAGUUCCAACAAGCAAGUACUUUUUGGAAAAACCAUUAGCUGGUAUUGUAGAUACAUUUCAACGCCAUCACUACUGCAGAGUAUGUACUAAGUACCUUGGCACUUCUCAAUCAGAAGAAGGGACCUUAACAUGUGUGUCAUGUUUGUCAUCCAUCACAGCAAAAGACAGUUUACACGGAGGACAUUUCUUUAUCAGUAUUCCGUUAAAGGAUCAACUUAAAGAUAUUCUUGAAAAUCAGGAAAGAACUUCAGCAUAUUGCUCACCUGUGGAACACCCACAUCAUUCAGAGAAGCAGAAAUGCAGUUGCACCCAGUGGCCGGCCUCACAUGAUGUACAUGCUUCCUCAGCUUUUUGGGGAAAGGACCAUCUCAAACAUGCAUCUGUGCAAGCAGUACAAACAUGCAGAGCACAAUGCAUACAACGAGGACCUUACCCAUGUGAUGAGACUGCCAUCCACUGGAAGGAUAAGAUGUGAUUGAUCCACUGAAGCAGAGGAUGAAUGCUGUAACCAUCACUGCUGUGUUACACAUGGACCAAAGUUUCCUCUCAGCCUGUUGUUAAUAGAAAUGAAACACUUUCUCAUCUGCUUUGCUUCAGUUCAUUUAGGGCCAACAUUGUUGAAUUGAUUGAUCACCACAUUUGACACAACACAGAUAUACAGUAUGUAUGAAUAACGUGCUUCAAGUAGAGAAAAUAAGACAUGAAAGCAUUAGAAAAUGAGUGUUUUUCUUCUUUUUUAAUGUAAUAUCUUUAUGUAGGUCAAACAGUCAAACAUUGUUUUGUGUUGUACAUGUGAGUGACAUAUAUAACAUUCUGUCAACUGGAC
rnacentral:lncRNA from 1 species